CAGGGAGGCCUCCAUGUAGGCCUCAGUGAAGCCUGAACUGGAGUAGGCUUGCAGGGAGGCCCCUAGCAAGCAAGGAAGGAGGCAGGCAGGCAGAGUGGCCCCCACAGCUCUCUGCAGCAGACCCUCUGCCCAGCCCAGCAUUUGCCAGGAUUCCUGUCACUAGUGAUUUAACGUCAUUGUCAGCAGUCAUCACAAACUGCAUGGGAUAGCAUUAGCACACUCUCCAAAAGAACAGUGCUUUGAAAUCAGAAUGCAAAAGGGGAAAAAAAAUAAAGCGUAAUUACACUGAAAUGGGAGGGGCUGAUUUAAAAGAAUGCUUUGAAAGGAUAUUGAUCUAUUUCCGACUUACAGCAGAAAAGAAAGAAAAUGGUAAUUAUAGCAAGUCCACUCAGGCUGCUUUACUUGAAGACUCAUCUACCCAUCUGCAAAGGAAAACUGAAGAGCUGUGUUAGAAGCCCCAACAAAAAUGCAGUGGAGGUGUAUUUCAGACAUACAGAGAGAGAGAGAGAAUUUUUAAAGCUGCAAACGGAACUACAUACAAGUAUCUGGAUCCCUGAAGGAAGCUGUUAAUAAAAAAAUAAUAGUAUACAUUUAAAGGUGACAGAAAAUACUGUGGCAAAAUGAAGCCAUGGCUCCUUGGAGAUGUCUAACAUAUGCUGGCACAGAUGCUACCAGACGUCCCCCACUGGGAGUGAUUAUUGAAUAUUAGAGAAAUUUGUACGGACGAGGAUUAAGGCUUUUGGAGGAAACCAUGUCAUUGCUCUGCCACAGAAAAGAACAAAAGACACACAGCCAAAGUUCAAGUUUCUAGGUUGCUGUCCUUUGAUAUAUGUAAAGUAUUACAUGUCUGAGCAACAGUGGGUUAAUGUGAAGAUCGCCUGUCUCUGGAGACUGAAGUUUAAAUGUAGGUCAGUGCCUGGCGGUAUCUGUUUGAGCUGAAGUAUAAAAAUGUUGAACUUCCU